rnacentral:rRNA from 1 species
GGUUAAGCGACUAAGCGUACACGGUGGAUGCCCUGGCAGUCAGAGGCGAUGAAGGACGUGCUAAUCUGCGAAAAGCGUCGGUAAGGUGAUAUGAACCGUUACAGCCGGCGAUGUCCGAAUGGGGAAACCCAGUGCAAUUCGUUGCACUAUCGUUAACUGAAUACAUAGGUUAACGAGGCGAACCGGGGGAACUGAAACAUCUAAGUACCCCGAGGAAAAGAAAUCAACCGAGAUUCCCCCAGUAGCGGCGAGCGAACGGGGAGCAGCCCGGAGUCUGAAUCAGCUUGUGUGUUAGUGGAAGCGUCUGGAAAGUCGCAGGGUACAGGGUGAUACUCCCGUACACUAAAACACACAGGCUGUGAACUCGAAGAGUAGGGCGGGACACGUGGUAUCCUGUCUGAAUAUGGGGGGACCAUCCUCCAAGGCUAAAUACUCCUGACUGACCGAUAGUGAACCAGUACCGUGAGGGAAAGGCGAAAAGAACCCCGGCGAGGGGAGUGAAAAAGAACCUGAAACCGUGUACGUACAAGCAGUAGGAGCCCACUAGUUGGGUGACUGCGUACCUUUUGUAUAAUGGGUCAGCGACUUAUAUUCUGUAGCAAGGUUAACCGUAUAGGGGAGCCGCAGGGAAACCGAGUCUUAACUGGGCGUUAAGUUGCAGGGUAUAGACCCGAAACCCGGUGAUCUAGCCAUGGGCAGGUUGAAGGUUGGGUAACACUAACUGGAGGACCGAACCGACUAAUGUUGAAAAAUUAGCGGAUGACUUGUGGCUGGGGGUGAAAGGCCAAUCAAACCGGGAGAUAGCUGGUUCUCCCCGAAAGCUAUUUAGGUAGCGCCUCGUGAACUCAUCUUCGGGGGUAGAGCACUGUUUCGGCUAGGGGGUCAUCCCGACUUACCAACCCGAUGCAAACUACGAAUACCGAAGAAUGUUAUCACGGGAGACACACGGCGGGUGCUAACGUCCGUCGUGAAGAGGGAAACAACCCAGACCGCCAGCUAAGGUCCCAAAGUCAUGGUUAAGUGGGAAACGAUGUGGGAAGGCCCAGACAGCCAGGAUGUUGGCUUAGAAGCAGCCAUCAUUUAAAGAAAGCGUAAUAGCUCACUGGUCGAGUCGGCCUGCGCGGAAGAUGUAACGGGGCUAAACCAUGCACCGAAGCUGCGGCAGCGACACUAUGUGUUGUUGGGUAGGGGAGCGUUCUGUAAGCCGUUGAAGGUGGCCUGUGAGGGUUGCUGGAGGUAUCAGAAGUGCGAAUGCUGACAUAAGUAACGAUAAUGCGGGUGAAAAACCCGCACGCCGGAAGACCAAGGGUUCCUGUCCAACGUUAAUCGGGGCAGGGUGAGUCGACCCCUAAGGCGAGGCCGAAAGGCGUAGUCGAUGGGAAACAGGUUAAUAUUCCUGUACUUGGUGUUACUGCGAAGGGGGGACGGAGAAGGCUAUGUUGGCCGGGCGACGGUUGUCCCGGUUUAAGCAUGUAGGCGGAUGUUCCAGGUAAAUCCGGAACGUUACUAACGCUGAGGUGUGAUGACGAGGCACUACGGUGCUGAAGUGACAAAUGCCCUGCUUCCAGGAAAAGCCUCUAAGCAUCAGGUAACAUCAAAUCGUACCCCAAACCGACACAGGUGGUCAGGUAGAGAAUACCAAGGCGCUUGAGAGAACUCGGGUGAAGGAACUAGGCAAAAUGGUGCCGUAACUUCGGGAGAAGGCACGCUGAUGGUAAGUGAAGUGACUUGCUCAUGGAGCUGAAAUCAGUCGAAGAUACCAGCUGGCUGCAACUGUUUAUUAAAAACACAGCACUGUGCAAACACGAAAGUGGACGUAUACGGUGUGACGCCUGCCCGGUGCCGGAAGGUUAAUUGAUGGGGUUAUCCUCGCGGAGAAGCUCUUGAUCGAAGCCCCGGUAAACGGCGGCCGUAACUAUAACGGUCCUAAGGUAGCGAAAUUCCUUGUCGGGUAAGUUCCGACCUGCACGAAUGGCGUAAUGAUGGCCAGGCUGUCUCCACCCGAGACUCAGUGAAAUUGAACUCGCUGUGAAGAUGCAGUGUACCCGCGGCAAGACGGAAAGACCCCGUGAACCUUUACUAUAGCUUGACACUGAACACUGGUCCUUGAUGUGUAGGAUAGGUGGGAGGCUUUGAAGUGUGGACGCCAGUCUGCAUGGAGCCAUCCUUGAAAUACCACCCUUUAAUGGCUGGUGUUCUAACGUGGGCCCGUGAUCCGGGUUGCGGACAGUGUCUGGUGGGUAGUUUGACUGGGGCGGUCUCCUCCUAAAGAGUAACGGAGGAGCACGAAGGUCAGCUAAUCCUGGUCGGACAUCAGGAGGUUAGUGCAAUGGCAUAAGCUGGCUUGACUGCGAGCGUGACGGCGCGAGCAGGUGCGAAAGCAGGUCAUAGUGAUCCGGUGGUUCUGAAUGGAAGGGCCAUCGCUCAACGGAUAAAAGGUACUCCGGGGAUAACAGGCUGAUACCGCCCAAGAGUUCAUAUCGACGGCGGUGUUUGGCACCUCGAUGUCGGCUCAUCACAUCCUGGGGCUGAAGUAGGUCCCAAGGGUAUGGCUGUUCGCCAUUUAAAGUGGUACGCGAGCUGGGUUUAGAACGUCGUGAGACAGUUCGGUCCCUAUCUGCCGUGGGCGCUGGAGAAUUGAGGGGGGCUGCUCCUAGUACGAGAGGACCGGAGUGGACGCAUCACUGGUGUUCGGGUUGUCAUGCCAAUGGCAUUGCCCGGUAGCUAAAUGCGGAAGAGAUAAGUGCUGAAAGCAUCUAAGCACGAAACUUGCCCCGAGAUGAGUUCUCCCUGACUCCUUGAGAGUCCUGAAGGAACGUUGAAGACGACGACGUUGAUAGGCCGGGUGUGUAAGCGCAGCGAUGCGUUGAGCUAACCGGUACUAAUGAACCGUGAGGCUUAACCUU